CCCAGCCGUAAACGUUGGGUGCUAGGUGUGGGGGGCAUCAACCCCCUCCGUGCCGACGCUAACGCAUUAAGCACCCCGCCUGGGGAGUACGGCCGCAAGGCUAAAACUCAAAGGAAUUGACGGGGGCCCGCACAAGCGGCGGAGCAUGUGGCUCAAUUCGACGCAACGCGAAGAACCUUACCAGGGCUUGACAUGCGGGGUGAAGCCGGUGAAAGCCGGUCCUCCUUCGGGAGCCCGCACAGGUGCUGCAUGGCUGU
rnacentral:rRNA from 1 species